rnacentral:tRNA from 1 species
AGGUAGCUGAGUGGUUAAAGCGACAGACUGCUAAUCCAUUGUGCUCUGCAGGCUGUGGGUUUGAAUCUCAUUCU